rnacentral:rRNA from 1 species
AUUGAACGCUGGCGGCAUGCCUUACACAUGCAAGUCGCACGGUAACAGGUCUUCGGAUGCUGACGAGUGGCGAACGGGUGAGUAAUACAUCGGAACGUGCCUAGUAGUGGGGGAUAACUACUCGAAGAAGUGGCUAAUACCGCAUGAGAUCUACGGAUGAAAGCAGGGGAUCGCCAGACCUUGUGCUACUAGGAGGGCCCGUGGCAGAUUAGGUAGUUGGUGGGCUAAAAGCUUACCAAGCCGACGAUCUGUAGCUGGUCUGAGAGGACGAUCAGCCACACUGGGACUGAGACACGGCCCAGACUCCUACGGGAGGCAGCAGUGGGGAAUUUUGGACAAUGGGCGAAAGCCUGAUCCAGCAAUGCCGCGUGCAGGAUGAAGGCCUUCGGGUUGUAAACUGCUUUUGUACGGAACGAAAAGCCCCGGGUUAAUACCCUGGGGUCAUGACGGUACCGUAAGAAUAAGCACCGGCUAACUACGUGCCAGCCGCCGCAGUAA